UACAUGUGGGGCAAGCGUUGUUCGGAAUUACUGGGCAUAAAGGGUGCGUAGGCGGCUCGGUAAGUCCGCUCUGAAAGUCCGGGGCUCAACCCCGGGAGGCGGGUGGAUACUGUCGAGCUAGAGUCCGGAAGAGGCGAGUGGAAUUCCUGGUGUAGCGGUGAAAUGCGCAGAUAUCAAGGAGGAACACCAAUGGCGAAGGCAGCUCGCUGGGACGGUACUGACGCUGAGACGCGAAAGCGUGGGGAGCAAACAGG
rnacentral:rRNA from 1 species